rnacentral:rRNA from 1 species
UGCGUAGGUGGUUUUUUAAGUCAGAUGUGAAAUCCCUGGGCUCAACCUAGGAAUUGCAUUUGAUACUGAAUAACUUGAGUAUGGUAGAGGGAAGUGGAAUUUCCAGUGUAGCGGUGAAAUGCGUAGAUAUUGGAAGGAACAUCAGUGGCGAAGGCGACUUCCUGGACCAUUACUGACACUGAGGCACGAAAGCGUGGGGAGCGAACAGGAUUAGAUACCCUGGUAGUCCACGCCGUAAACGAUGAGAACUAGAUGUUAGGGGGCUUAGACCUCUUAGUAUCGCAGCAAACGCGUUAAGUUCUCCGCCUGGGGAGUACGGCCGCAAGGUUAAA